AGGACGAACGCUGGCGGCGUGCUUAACACAUGCAAGUCGAGCGGAAAGGCCCUUCGGGGUACUCGAGCGGCGAACGGGUGAGUAACACGUGAGCAACCUGCCCUUAGCUCUGGGAUAGCUCCGGGAAACCGGAAUUAAUACCGGAUACGACCUAGGCCGACAUCGGCCAUGGUGGAAAGUUUUUCGGCUAGGGAUGGACUCGCGGCCUAUCAGCUAGUUGGUGGGGUAAAGGCCUACCAAGGCGACGACGGGUAGCCGGCCUGAGAGGGCGACCGGCCACACUGGGACUGAGACACGGCCCAGACUCCUACGGGAGGCAGCAGUGGGGAAUCUUGCGCAAUGGGCGAAAGCCUGACGCAGCGACGCCGCGUGGGGGAUGAAGGCCUUCGGGUUGUAAACCCCUUUCAGCAGGGACGAAGCGAAAGUGACGGUACCUGCAGAAGAAGCGCCGGCUAACUACGUGCCAGCAGCCGC
rnacentral:rRNA from 1 species